rnacentral:lncRNA from 1 species
UUUACAUUUUAUUGUUAGAAUAUGCUCUUAACUAUAAUGAUUGGUAAUUCACAGUGCCAAUAUAUCACAAUAUAUUCCUGCUUAUUUAUAAGAAUUCCAGGAAACGAAGUUUACUGAGAAGCAGUGCAAAGGUAAAUUGAUGCAAAAGUAUUGCUUUCUUCAUUUGGAGAUCUCUGUUGAUUUAGGGUUGGGUUAUUUUCAAAUACAAAAAAAAAAUUAUCAUUCAAUAAGACAGAGCUAAAAACUGUGUUAUGCAGCCUGGGCAUGCGCAAUAGCAAAAGCUUUUACUUCUAACAACACCUGGAAUAAAUGAUUCUUCCCCUCAGAGCCAAGAAGAUUGAUACAUGACUGGAGCCUGAAUGGUAGAACUUUUUCAGAAGUGAGGAGUCUGUUGGCCCAGAAGAUCUGCGGUAAGAUCUGCCUCAACAUACCUUACUCAUUUUUUUCAAAGAGACUCUAGAGUCUAAAAUGAACAACCAAUCAAUUCUACAAACAUUGCAUCAUGAGGAGUUGCUGCACCUCUUCUCCAGGAUUUGCAAAACGUGUAGUCCAAAUCGAGUUCGGCUAGAACUGGUCUGUCAUCAAGAUAUGGCUCAUGAAAGAGAUUGGUGUUUAGGAGGCUGGGAAAAGGAAAUAUUUUGAGAGACUUCAUGUGCUCCGCACAUGGAGGUGGCUUCCUUUUGCCUCAGGUGAAGGGAGCUUCAACAAGAUCACUCAGAGUUUGAUCAAUGAUCUUAGAAUUUGCAGAACAUAGGGACUGCCAUUUGACUCACCCUUUAGAAGUCAGGAGGAAAGGUUACGUGGCUGGCACUUCUCAUGUCUGGGAAGGAACAACUGUGAAGUGCUGACCUAGACGAAUGUUGCACUUCCGCUGAUGAGUAGGCAAUGGCGAAUGUUUUCCAGGGUCCAAAUGUGGACCCGGCAACAGAGAGGCUGUCUGUAAUCACUUUAUAAGAGACACUAACAACAAUGACCACUGGGACUAAAGAGAGCACAACGGAAGUAGUUCUGCCAGAAGGGCUGAGGAGAGGGCUGAGCAACCACCCUCAGGGGAGGCAGACCCACAUCAAAGACAUCUCAGCAGUCCCUUUCCCAUGAAAGAAAGAGCUAGAAAUUGUCCAUUUGACACACACACAAACCAGAUCCCAGAUUGCAAUUGAUUCAGAUAAUGAAAAGCUUGUUCUUUUCACUUGCUGUUCUAGCCUAACCAUGUAGGUGUCAGAAGCAGUUGUAGGCUAGGAGAGAAGUCGGAGCAAUACAGAAGCCAGUUCUGCCUUUGCCUCAAGAUCCACUGUCCACUCAGAGGCAGGCUGGCACAUGGGGGAUGAGAACAUUCCAAGAAAGAUGUGAAUCUGGAAUUUUCAUUUAUGCAGUAGAUGGGGAUUUACUACUGAAAGGAACAUGUUUUGGCAACUAAUAGUGACCAAAAGAAUUUGUACUUACUAAAAAUUAUCUUAAAAGCAUGGGAUUACCCUAGCAUUUUGUUUCAGAAACUGAAAUUAACAGAAAACUAUAAAAUUACUUUCUGCCUGAAACCUAAGAAGGUGAACUCAUGCCAGAAACCAGUUACAUUCACAAUUACCUGGAUUUUGUUAUUUCCUACAAUGAAUAAAACUUAUUAUAAAGCAGAAAAGC